ensembl:lncRNA
UAAAGUUUACUAUAAAAAAAAUUACAAGAGCAUUGUUCAAUACUAAAAAAAUGUCCACAACUUCAAUAUAUCAAUAGUUUCACCUGAGAGGAGUUUAGGUUAGACGCAUCCCUUGUUUGAUCCAGCAUCUGUUUGGUUUGUUCCUCCUGGGCCGCUUGGCUUAAGGUAGUUUUAGAUGUAGUACCUGUACCUUGGCAAGUGACAAGAAUCAAUUAUUGACAUAUAGUGGACAAAAUCUGAUAAAUGUAGACGUGAAUAAAGUUUGCUAUUUGAGACUAUGAUCUAAAACUCCUAUUCUACUCCAAAGAGAUCCAAGUGGAUGAAGGAAAAGUCUAUUCUUGUAAUGCCUUAAUCCAUGGAAUACAAAUUGCAUCUACUAACAAGUAAUUUCAACUAUAAAACUUUUGAAAAAAGCUAGCUUUUCCAGCUUGUUGGACCAAAACAGUUGUUGUCGACAAAGUCAAGGAAAGCUUUGACGUGGUGGUGUUAAUUUUGUGCAGAACAGUAACAUUUAGAGUUGUUGUUGUAGCGUCAAAAGGAGUGACUGUAGAUGUCAAAUGUCACCUGGUACUCCCGUUGUCAGGUUCCAGUCUGCUGUUGAACUGCUUGCAGUCGAGCUUAGAUUGGAGAUGAUUCCAACACUUUGAUUGUGAUUGAUGGUGAUACUGACAGGGGAAGCAGCUGUUAGGUUAUCAUUUCCGUGGGUUGUUGUGAUGUUGGUCACUCUCGCUGUGGUCUGAUUUACAGUCUGGUUGAUAAGUGGAGCUCCUAUUGUUUCGUUGGUUAAAGGUGAGACUGUUGUGACAUUCAAUGUUGUUGUGUUAUUCAGAGAAGGUGUGACUGUUAUGUUGACUGUUAUGUUGGAUGUUAUUGUUUUAUUGGUUGAUGGUGAGACUGCUGUUGCAUUCAAUGUUGUUGUGUUAUUCAGAGAAGGUGUGGCGGUUUUGUUGGAUGUUAUGGUGUUAUUGGUUGUAGCUGAGACUGUUGUGACAUUCAAUGUUGUUGUUGUUGUGUGAUUUGUUGAAGGUGUGACUGUUACGUUGGAUGUUGUUGUUUCAUUGGUUGGAGGUGAGGAUGUUGUGACAUUAAAUGUUGUUGUGUGAUUUGUUGAAGGUGUGACUGUAGUUAUGUUGUUUGUUGUUGUGUCAUUCAGAGAAGCUGUGACUGUUAUGUUGGAUGUUGUUGUUUUAUUGGUCGAAGGUGAGACUGUUGUGACAUUGAAUGUUGUAGUGUCAUUAAGAAAAGGUGUGACUGUUAUGUUGGAUGUUAUUGUUUUAUUGGUUGAAUGUGAGACUGUUGUGACAUUCAAUGUUGUUGUGUUAUUCAGAGAAGGUGUGACUGUUACGUUGGAUGUUAUUGUUUUAUUGGUCGAAGGUGAGACUGUUGUGACAUUCAAUGUUGUUGUGUUAUUCAGAGAAGGUGUGACUGUUAUGUUGGAUGUUAUUGUGUUAUUGGUUGAAGGUGAGAUUCUUGUGACAUUCAAUGUUGUUGUGUUAUUCAAAGAAGGUGUGACUGUUAUGUUGGAUGUUAUUGUUUUAUUGUUUAAAGGUGACACUGUUGUGACAUUCAAUGUUGCUGUGGUUGUGUUAUUCAGAGAAGGUUUGACUGUUAUGUUCGGUAUGUUGUUGUUUCUUUGGUUGAAGGUGAGACUGUUGUGACUUUCAAUGUUGUUGUGUGAUUGGUUGAAGGUGUGACUGUCGUUACAUUGUUUGUUGUUGUGUCAUUCUGAAAGGGUGUGACUGUUGUUACACUGUAUGUUGUUGUGUGAUUGUUUGAAGGUGUGACUUUGUUAACUGUUACGUUGUCCACAGUUGUGUGGUUUUGUUGCAAUUUAGUUAUGUUAUGUGUGUAACCGAUGGAUUCAGUUGUCCUAACAUUUAAGUUUGAGUCAUUAGAGGAUAAUGUUGUGAAAUUUGUUGCGUUUUGCCGUCUUGUAGUUGUGUUUUGUAAUUUGCUAUUAUCAGUGGGUGUCCAUACUGUGCUGUUAGAUACAUUUGCGUUUUGUUCUGUUGUCACAGUAGUCACAGUCAUGUUUUGUGAGCUGGUUGUGAGGACUGGCUCUGCUGUCGAGGACUGGGUUCUGUCAUGUGUUGCGAGUGGAGUGGUCAUGCUGGACUGAGCUGUUACUUGUGAUGCAUUCUUCUGUUGAAUUGUUGCAGAACUUUCAGUUGUUGUUUUAGUUUUCUCAGUAGUGUUGACCACAGAUGGUGUUGAGGCCUCAGGAGUUGAAGUGCUUUGUGUAGUUGGGGGGGGCUCUCUCGGGCAGCUUUCGGUCAGAAGUACAGCAAGCCUUUCAUUUGCAUCACUGAAAAAGAACACAUCGAGAAAAUGAGGGGAAAUACUUCUUCUAUAAAGCCAGAACCUUCAAUAUCACAGACGCUCAAUGAACCAUUAGCCUUGUGCAGUGAGUCGAUGUUCCUUUCUUC